GGGCACAGCUGGGAGCGGCAGCGCAGGCGCAGAAGGACCCAGCCGCCGCCGCGCCACGGGCCGAAGGCGAGGGGAGGCCUGCGGCGGGGUGACUUGAAGCGGCCCCUCCGGCUCAGCUCUUUGCCCUGUAGUGUAUGGACCAUUUGUGCGUGAAAAGUCUUGCUGAUCUUCUUCAUCCAAAUCCAAAAUGUCUGGGAUAUCAUCUGACUCUGAAGACAGGUCUGUAAUAGUGAAAUCUGGAACCUGCGUAGGAACAAAAUUUAAAUAAAUUCAAAAGUAGAACUAAA